GAUGAAGAACGUAGCGAAAUGCGAUAAGUAAUGUGAAUUGCAGAAUUCAGUGAAUCAUCGAAUCUUUGAACGCACAUUGCGCCCCUUGGUAUUCCGAGGGGCAUGCCUGUUCGAGCGUCAUAUUAACCACUCCCGCUUGCGGGGUCUUGGGCUUCGCCUCCGGGCGGGCCUUAAAAUCAGUGGCGGUGCCGUCGGGCUCUACGCGUAGUAAAUUUUCUCGCGAUAGGGUCCCGGUGGAUGCUUGCCAACAACCCCCAACUUCUCAAGGUUGACCUCGGAUCAGGUAGGGAUACCCGCUGAACUUAAGCAUAUCAAUAAGCGGAGGA
rnacentral:misc_RNA from 1 species